GCAUUUGGAGGGUUUGGGUCUGGUCAGGAAGAUAGCUCCUGAGCUAUGUGUGUAAAAUCCACUCUUGAGGAAAACAUGUAGAGAUUGAAAGACAGUGAUUGGUGUCUUUUAAGAGUAUUCAGACAAGAGAAAAGUAGGAAGCUGAACUGGAGACAGGAAAAGUGGAAGUAUGGUGUAACUGUACUAGCUGCAUUUGGGCGGAU